UGUCAAGUGAUGGGAAUCGAACCCACGACCUUCCGCUUACCGGGCAGAUGCCAUGACCACUAGGCUACCCUGGAC